UCUAUUAGAUUUAAUACACAUGGAUCUCUAAAAGAAUUUUUGGAUCGGUUGAAAAUUUAAUUUUU
rnacentral:sRNA from 1 species